rnacentral:rRNA from 1 species
CAGCCGCCGCGGGAAUACGAAGGGUGCAAGCGUUACUCGGAAUUACUGGGCGUAAAGCGUGCGUAGGUGGUGGUUUAAGUCCGUUGUGAAAGCCCUGGGCUCAACCUGGGAAUUGCAGCGGAUACUGGGUUACUAGAGUGUGGUAGAGGAUAGUGGAAUUUCCGGUGUAGCAGUGAAAUGCGUAGAGAUUGGAAGGAACAUCUGUGGCGAAGGCGACUAUCUGGGCCAACACUGACACUGAGGCACGAAAGCGUGGGGAGCAAACAGGAUUAGAUACCCCCGUAGUCCCUGUCUCUUAUAC